AGUGGGGAGUGUUCUGCGGCACCUCUUUUAACGCUCGCUCGCUCGGUGUCACUCUUCCCUUGGUACUUACGGUCUUGCAGCCUCGGUGCCCUGUAACAAAGGUUGAAAAGCGAAAAUAAUUCCUGGCGUGGAGCGACGGUAGCCGGGCCGGGACCUUCUAAAACGGAACAGAGAAGCCUAAUGAGCGCGUAGUGAUGACGCAACACGCAGCCUAGGCUUUUCUCUUCCUCGGCGACUUGCCUUCAGACUUGGGUCUUGGACUGGAACCACACCACCGGCUUUCCUGGACUUCCAGCUUGCAGAGGGACUUCUCAGCCUCCAAAAUUGAGCCCCUUGCAAAUGAAAGUCUAAAGAGCUCUACAAUGGUUUAUGAAGAAACUCAAAGACACACAAUUUAUAGGAAGAAAAUUUCUGAGAAUAAGAACUUCUUGGAAAAAUAAUUGCAGCAUCAAAGAAUGCUCUGGAUGAAACAGGUCCUGGACACAAAUUCCAGUUUGCAGCCUACAUUCCCUCAGUCUUACAUCUCAUUUUGGACACUUAAAGCAGAAGUUUAACUGGAAGAAAUCUGAGCUGCACCGUAGAAAAUCCUUUCUCCUUUGUUUAAGCCAAAAGUAAAAGGCCAUUAAUUAGACAAUGGAAAAGAGAUCAUAACAGUAGAUGGUUACAUUGGAAUGGUUACUACAAGAGACAAAUACUCUUCUUGGCCUGAGUUCACUAAGUUCAUCUUGUAAGUAGACAUGGAAAUAAUACUUAUUACUUCCUCUAGGAGUCUCCUGGGCAAUUCUACAAGAUCCUUUGCCUGGAAAUCUCUGUGAAUAAAUUGCUAACAAUUUGCUAAUGAGUGAGUCAUAAUAUAUAUUAGUCGUUUUUACCUACACAAGGAGAAUACCCUUUUCCAAAAACUCCCUCUUCCUUAAGGUGUGGCAAGGCCUGAAACAUUCACACAAACAUUUAAAUAGCA